GAUGAACGCUAGCGGCAGGCUUAACACAUGCAAGUCGAGGGGUAUAGUUCUUCGGAACUAGAGACCGGCGCACGGGUGCGUAACGCGUAUGCAAUCUACCUUUUGCAGAGGGAUAGCCCCAGAGAAAUUUGGAUUAAUACCUCAUAGUAUAGCAGUUUCGCAUGAAACCACUAUUAAAGUCACAACGGCAAAAGAUGAGCAUGCGUCCCAUUAGCUAGUUGGUAAGGUAACGGCUUACCAAGGCUACGAUGGGUAGGGGUCCUGAGAGGGAGAUCCCCCACACUGGUACUGAGACACGGACCAGACUCCUACGGGAGGCAGCAGUGAGGAAUAUUGGACAAUGGCGCAAGCCUGAUCCAGCCACUGCCGCGUGCAGGAUGACGGUCCUAUGGAUUGUAAACUGCUUUUGUACAGGAAGAAACACUCCCUCGUGAGGGAGCUUGACGGGUACUAGUAAGAAUAAGGAUCGGCUAACUCCGUGCCAG
rnacentral:rRNA from 1 species